CAAUAGCGUAUAUUAAAGUUGUUGCAGUUAAAAAGCUCGUAGUUGGAUUUCGGGGCAGCCUGGCUGGUCCGCCGCAAGGCGAGUACUGGUCAGCCGCCCUUCCUCUCGAAAGCCCCGACUGCUCUUUAUUGCAGUGGUCGGGUAGUUCGGGACGUUUACUUUGAAAAAAUUAGAGUGUUCAAGGCAGGCCUACGCCUGAAUACAUUAGCAUGGAAUAAUGGAAGAGGACCUCGGUCCUAUUUUGUUGGUUUCCAGGACCGAAGUAAUGAUUAAGAGGGACAGUUGGGGGCAUUCGUAUUUAAUUGUCAGAGGCGAAAUUCUCGGAUUUAUGAAAGACGAACAACUGCGAAAGCAUUUGCCAAGGAUGUUUUCAUUAA
rnacentral:rRNA from 1 species